GGGGAAGCACAGGAUCCCAGACUGUGUCCCCCAGCGCCCUGGGAUCUGGGGCCUGCAGUGCUGGAAUCACGCUCUCGGGGCCACGCAGCUCCCU
rnacentral:pre_miRNA from 1 species